GAUCAAAGGAUGUUGGCAUUCAAGAUAUAAACCAUUACUCCCAUCUAAACCCUUAUCAUAAACGCCGAUCAGACUGACCCACAUAUCCAACCAACUGAUCACAUAUGUUAAACUCGCAUAAUAUUUCAAUUCAUUAAAGUAUAAUUUGCAAAUGAGUGUUAUACACGUAUUGAACUAACUGACCAACAUAUUCAACUCGCAUAAUAUUUCAAUUUCU
rnacentral:lncRNA from 1 species